rnacentral:rRNA from 1 species
UACGGGGGGAGCAAGCGUUGUUCGGAUUUACUGGGCGUAAAGGGCGCGUAGGCGGUCAGCACAAGUCAGUUGUGAAAUCUCCGGGCUUAACUCGGAAAGGUCAACUGAUACUGUGCGACUAGAGUGCAGAAGGGGCAACUGGAAUUCUCGGUGUAGCGGUGGAAUGCGCAGAUAUCAGGAGGAACACCGGUGGCGAAGGCGGUUCUCUGGGCCUUACCUGACGCUGAGGAGCGAAAGCGUGGGGAGCGAACAGG